AUGAACGCUGGCGGCGUGCCUAAUACAUGCCCGUCGAGCGAACAGACGAGGAGCUUGCUCCUCUGACGUUAGCGGCGGACGGGUGAGUAACACGUGGAUAACCUACCUAUAAGACUGGGAUAACUUCGGGAAACCGGAGCUAAUACCGGAUAAUAUAUUGAACCGCAUGGUUCAAUAGUGAAAGACGGUUUUGCUGUCACUUAUAGAUGGAUCCGCGCCGCAUUAGCUAGUUGGUAAGGUAACGGCUUACCAAGGCAACGAUGCGUAGCCGACCUGAGAGGGUGAUCGGCCACACUGGAACUGAGACACGGUCCAGACUCCUACGGGAGGCAGCAGUAGGGAAUCUUCCGCAAUGGGCGAAAGCUUGACGGAGCAACGCCGCGUGAGUGAUGAAGGUCUUCGGAUCGUAAAACUCUGUUAUUAGGGAAGAACAAAUGUGUAAGUAACUAUGCACGUCUUGACGGUACCUAAUCAGAAAGCCACGGCUAACUACGUG
rnacentral:rRNA from 1 species